rnacentral:rRNA from 1 species
AGAAUCAACGCUGGCGGCGUGCCUAACACAUGCAAGUCGAACGAGAAAGUGGAGCAAUCCAUGAGUAAAGUGGCGACCGGGUGAGUAACACGUGACUAACCUACCUUCGAGUGGGGGAUAACCUCGGGAAACCGAGGCUAAUACCGCAUAACAUCGCAAGAUCAAAGCAGCAAUGCGCUUGGAGAGGAGUUCGCGGCCGAUUAGCUAGUUGGCGGGGUAAUGGCCCACCAAGGCGAUGAUCGGUA